rnacentral:rRNA from 1 species
UUAGCCUUACCGGUGGAUCACUCGGCUCGUAUA